GACGAACGCUGGCGGCGUGCUUAACACAUGCAAGUCGAACGAAGAGCGACGGAAGCUUGCUUCUAUCAAUCUUAGUGGCGAACGGGUGAGUAACGCGUAAUCAACCUGCCCUUCAGAGGGGGACAACAGUUGGAAACGACUGCUAAUACCGCAUACGAUCUAAUCUCGGCAUCGAGGAUGGAUGAAAGGUGGCCUCUACAUGUAAGCUAUCACUGAAGGAGGGGAUUGCGUCUGAUUAGCUAGUUGGAGGGGUAACGGCCCACCAAGGCGAUGAUCAGUAGCCGGUCUGAGAGGAUGAACGGCCACAUUGGGACUGAGACACGGCCCAGACUCCUACGGGAGGCAGCAGUGGGGAAUCUUCCGCAAUGGACGAAAGUCUGACGGAGCAACGCCGCGUGAGGGAUGACGGCCUUCGGGUUGUAAAGCUCUGUUAAUCGGGACGAAAGGCCUUCUUGCGAAUAGGGAGAAGGAUUGACGGUACCGGAAUAGAAAGCCACGGCUAACUACGUG
rnacentral:rRNA from 1 species